GGACGACCCCGGCGAAGGGACCAGUCCCCGCAGCCCCUGCGGCGCCGAGGCCGCGCCGCCAGGCCCGGCACAGGGGGCUCAGCACCUGCCCCUCAGGCCCCACAGGACGGAGCUGUACGAGGACCCCCCGUCAGGAUGUUGGCCCAUCGUGUAUUCCCCAGACUACAACAUCACCUUCAUGGGACUUGAGAAGCUGCACCCCUUCGAUGCAGGGAAAUGGGGGAAAGUAAUCAAUUUCUUGAAAGAAGAAAAACUAAUUGCAGAUGACUUGAUUGUACAGGCACGGGAGGCGACUGAUGAAGAUCUGCUGGUUGUUCACACGAGGCGCUACCUUAAUAAAUUAAAGUGGUCCUUUGUUGUGGCUACAAUCACAGAAAUCCCACCCGUGGCCUUUCUGCCCAAUUUUGUUGUUCAGAGGAAAGUUCUGAGGCCUCUACGAACCCAGACAGGAGGAACAAUAAUGGCAGGAAAACUGGCUGUGGAGAGAGGCUGGGCCAUCAACGUGGGGGGUGGUUUCCAUCACUGCUCCAGUGACAAAGGGGGGGGGUUUUGUGCAUAUGCUGACAUCACACUGGCCAUCAAGUUCUUGUUUGAGAGAAUACCAGGGGUGUCUAAAGCCACAAUUAUUGAUCUGGAUGCCCAUCAGGGGAAUGGCCAUGAGAGGGACUUCCUGGAUGAUCCUCGGGUGUAUAUUAUGGAUGCCUACAACAGAUACAUUUACCCAGGGGAUGGCUUUGCUAAACGUGCCAUAAAACGCAAAGUGGAGCUGGAGUGGGGCACAGAGGAUACCGAGUACCUUCAGAAGGUGCACACCCAUGUGGAGGGAGCCCUGAACGAGUUCAAACCCGACAUCCUGGUCUAUAAUGCUGGCACCGACAUCCUGGAUGGGGAUCCCUUGGGAGGCCUGGCCAUUUCCCCCCAGGUCUGUGUGGCACUGCCAUCCCCCAGCCCUGCUCCCCACACGCCCUGCAGGCAGUUUGGGAGCUGAAGGGAAGAGCACCCUUUGCCCUCAGCCAGAGCAUUUCCCUCUUACAGGCACCAGAGAUGCGUCUCUUCCUCUUUCACCCUUUUUUAAUUUGGUUUUUCUUCCUGCCUCUAAACAUUUUUGUCCUCCCAGUGGCUGUUUCAGUAUAAUCCAUCUCCUCUCUAAAAUACACUGGUUUGAGCUCCCAGGCAGUAACCAGAGAGACAGACAUUUUCACGCUUCACUUGACUUCUAUUUUCCCGAUUUGCUUGGUUUGUUUUUCCCCUCACAUGACCCAUUUUGCAGUGUAUUUCUUUUGUCACCUGCCCCCAGUACGUAUCUUACACUUAAUUUCCUCUCUAGCACUCCCAGCUGUUUUAAACUGCCCUUGUGGUGUCUUCCAGCUGUAACAAUUUUGUGCAGCCUGUCUGUGUAUUCCUAACAAAUGAACACCUCUUGAAUCUUACAGAUACCAUGUACUUUCUCUCCCCACUGUUAGCAGGCUUUAAUUUUUAUUUAUUCUGUACACUUCAUGGAAGUCUUCACCUCCCAGUUUGUGUCCCUUCACGUCCCACCUUCACUGCUUUUCCAAAACACUCUGCUUUUCUCAGAGCAAACGAAAACCUCCAGAUCUUCUGUUUCCCCUGUGGUUUUUAAUGAUCCCUCCUCUGACAGCUCCUCUGUGCUGCCUCUCUCCUGUUUCACAUUUAAUGGCCACCCGUUCAAUACAGAGGAGUGCUUGGUCUGGGAGCUCUCUCAGGUUCCCCCCGAUGGAGCCACCGCUCCAUCAGUUCAGUUUUGUGUUCAGAUCUCUUGCACAAAGGCAGAGCUCAGGGGUUUGGGCUUGAUUUGACCUUGGAGAGGACACAGCCUGAGGUGUGAGGGGUGGUUGGUGCAGCAGUGGCCACCAAGAGAC